rnacentral:rRNA from 1 species
UACGUAGGGGGCAAGCGUUGUCCGGAUUUAUUGGGCGUAAAGAGCGUGUAGGCGGCCCGGUAAGUCCGCUGUGAAAGUCCAGGGCUCAACCCUGGGAUGCCGGUGGAUACUGUCGGGCUCGAGUCCGGAAGAGGAGAGUGGAAUUCCUGGUGUAGCGGUGAAAUGCGCAGAUAUCAGGAAGAACACCAAUGGCGAAGGCAGCUCUCUGGGACGGUACUGACGCUGAGACGCGAAAGCGUGGGGAGCGAACAGG